CCCUUAGAUGUUCUGGGCUGCACGCGUGCUACACUGAUAUUGCCAAUAUGUCAUUCUUAUCCGAAAUGGAUUGGGUAAUCAAGUAAUGAAAUUUCAUGCUUGGAAUCGGUAAUUGCAAUUUUAUCGUGAACGAGGAAUUCCUAGUAAGCACUAGUCAUCAGCUAAUGUUGAUUAUGUCCCUGCCCUUUGUACACACCGCCCGUCGCUACUACUGAUUGGGUGUUCAAGUGAGAUGCUUAGACCCUUGUUGCAUGGUUCAUUAUUGUGCUCCGAAAGGAAAAAGUUUCAAGCUUGAGUGUCUAGAGGAAGUAAAAGUCUUAACA
rnacentral:rRNA from 1 species